rnacentral:misc_RNA from 1 species
GAUGAAGAACGUAGCGAAAUGCGAUAGGUAAUGUGAAUUGCAGAAUUCAGUGAAUCAUCGAAUCUUUGAACGCACAUUGCGCCCGCCAGUAUUCUGGCGGGCAUGCCUGUUCGAGCGUCAUUUCAACCCUCAAGCCCUCGGGUUUGGUGUUGGGGAUCGGCGAGCCUUUCUGGCAAGCCGGCCCCGAAAUCUAGUGGCGGUCUCGCUGCAGCCUCCAUUGCGUAGUAGUAAAACCCUCGCAACUGGAACGCGGCGCGGCCAAGCCGUUAAACCCCCAACUUCUGAAUGUUGACCUCGGAUCAGGUAGGAAUACCCGCUGAACUUAAGCAUAUCAAUAAGCGGAGGA